CAGACCUCUAAUCGGAAAAGACUACCCGCUGAGUUUAAGCAUAUCCUUAAAGCGGAGGA
rnacentral:rRNA from 1 species